UCUAUUUUGUCUAUUGAUACCGUUGUAAAAUUCUUUGAUAUAAUUAAUAUUUGCCCUUACUUUUUGUAUCUGAAUGUAUAACUAUUUAUAUUAAAGAAUUUUACAACAAUUGCAAAGCUGUAUUUUCCGCUAAACGCAGCAAAUUUUUGAUGAUAUAUGAACAGUGGCUCUAAAUCUUUAUAUGUUUGAAAUUGUGAAAUUAACAUUUAAUUAUUAUAUAUCAAAGAAAUUUUUUUAUUUUUUUUUAUUCGUUAGGGAUUAAAUAUGUGAUUAAUUAUUUAAAAACAAUGUAUAAUUUUAAGUUGAUCUUUAUGAUUCAGAGUAGCUGUCUUAUGUAUUAUAGGCCUGCUUUUUAUUGCUGAAGUAGUGCACAUUCAGCGUUAAAAAUAAUAUUUAGGUAUAUGUUUAAAAUUUGAUGAAAGCAAAAAAGAAAAGCUAGUGCAGUCCAAUGCAGCAAAAAAAACAAAUCCUACUCGUAUACUUAAUUUUCUGAUACAAUACAAACGUUUUUUUUUUAUUAAAAUAAUUUUAUAUGUUUAAGUGUAAUUUAUAAUAAAAACUUUCUUAAAUUCUUUAUAUACAUACUUAGAUAUUAUAUAUAGUCUGGAUUAACCCUCCGUAGGCAGUCUUGGUUUUUUUUGUUUAAAGCAAAAUUCUUAAUCUCAAAUUUCUUUGCUCAAAUUCAAAUCUUUAUUAAAUAACACUAAAGGAGUUUUAACAUUAAAGGAGUUAGUUAUUUGAUAAUGUAGGAAUGCGGAAAAGUAUUAUAACCGUGAACUUUUCUAUUUUUCCUUAGCUUUUCUAGUUUGUGUCAUAUGACACAGAGAGACGGUCAAAGGACGUCCUUAGGCUCGUCUUAGGAUUUAGACAUCUCAAGAACGUCGUUUGAAUACAGUGUGCUGUGUGGACGACUUAAAAUUACGUCCAUUGCUGGCUUCACAUUUUGGACGUGUUCGUCUGUCGACAAUGACGACCUCAAAAUAUAAAAUUGUGGAGUUCGACGAGGGGAUAGAAAUGAUUCCAACGACAUGGCUUAAUCAUGACCAAACAAUAGCUUCUUGGCCUCUUUACCAAAAUCAAAUAAAAAUUAAUAAAGCUAUUUCCAAUAUGAAGACGCCAAAAGAAGAUUGGAAACAAUGUAAAAUUAAGAAGAUAUGCAGAUUCAUACGAACAAGCAGUUGAUAAAGUUGCAAUGGCUAUGGAGCUUUUUGAUAUAGAAUCUAUUACUCCGGAAGAAUAUAAAAAAAGUAGACGUACGAGCUAAAGUGCGGCAUUCAGAUGAUGCUUACAGUUCUCAUGAUUCUUCGGAUAAAGUUCCAGUAAGAAAACGCAAUACUUCUAAAGUAUUACCACCAUUCCCAAUCGUACCAAAUAAAGGUAAAACGUCAAAAUCGAAAAGUUGUGACAACAUUAUGCGAAAAGAAAAAUCCAAUGUGAAAAACAUGAAGCCACAAGAUUCUUAACUUAAUUCACCGACACAGAAAUCUGACGACGAGGAUGACAUUAAUUAUGACGAAAUUGAAAAAGACGAUUGCGUAAGAAAAGAAAAUUUAGAAUCAAAUAUUGCUCUUGAAAGUGUACCAUCGACAUCGUCAAUGCGAAAACAGGAUCCAUUAAAAAAAAUAAUUAAAAAAAUUGAGGAGCAACAAGAUAAACCUAUCAAAAUUGUUUGAAGAACUAAAAAAAAAACAGAGCAACCGUGACUGUAAGCAAGAAUCAACCUCAUUAUAAACUAAUACAACAGUAGACAUUUGCAAAUUUGCAGAAAGUCUACCGUUAAAAAAUGAGGAAAAUUUACAGAAAAUAGAAAUAAAUCUUUAAACAGAAGAGUUUCGUACAAAAUGGGUAUGAUACUUAAUGAAACUUUUUUUUACAAUGAUUAUUAAUUAUUUUAAUGUUGUAAUUGUAUAAAAAUAAAAAAACUGUUUUAGCACAGUUUUGUAAUUGUAAAUAUAACUAAGUAAACGGUAAUUUUUUAAAAUUAUCUUUGCAACUUUACUUUCUGUAAUUGUUGCUUUAAAAUUUUGAAAUAUAUCAUAAUCGGAUAAUUUAAAUAUGUUUGUAUAUAUUAAUUAUGACAUGUGUCACAUAAAAUAAUUUGUAUUAUUAAUUAUUAUACCAUAAAUAAUCCAACUGUAAACAGGCUCUUAAGUGUUUCUUGUUAUAUCCGUAAUAAAUAUAAUUGUCGACAAAUAAAAUGAUACAAUUACUGAUAAGCUGUUACAGACACAAUGUUCCAAAUUAACGAUUCUUUUUAAGACAAUGAGAAUAGGUCCAAACAAAAAACGGUACUAUCAGAAUGACUAUUAUUCUUUAUUAAAACAUAUUUUUAUCUACGAAAAUAAUACGUUAUAUGCACGUUAUAUUUCAUCUCAUAAUUUAUGAAAUUUCGCCACGGUUACGAUCAUUUAAAAUUCUUAGGCCCGAUCUUUCAUUAUCCGGUUAACUUGUGGUUAAACUUAACCUAAUGUUUUAUCCAAUGAGCUUCACUCAUGAUGAUGCCAUAAGUGAAGCUCAUUGGUUGAAACUCCAAGUUAGGUUUAACUACAAGUUAACCAGAUAAUGAAAAACCGGGCCUUAAUGUACCAGUAAAAUGAAAUCAGCAAAAUGAAAUCAGCCGAUUUUUGUAAAUUUAUAUUCUUUUAAAGCUUUUACUAAUAAAUACAAAUAAUUUUUCUAAUAAUGAAGUAUCCUAGCUAGGGCUUCUUUGACGUUUAUGUAUUAAAAACAAGAAUCGGUAAUCCUGCCUGGACGUCAAUGUCUCUAUACAAAGGUAUUUUGUAUGACUAUAGUUCAUAAAAUAAAGCAAUCACUUUUGUUUGAGUUUGUAUCUUCACUUGUAUGUAUCCGAGGAAACGUAAUUGUUAUUGUCAUUGCUCUAUUUUGUUGAUGUAAAAAUUGUAAACUAUAUAUAAUCUGUUUAUAUAUGUAGACACACAACACAUAUAUAAUACAGAGUAUAUAUGUGACACACAUAAUGUUCACAUUUCUGCAUUUGCAAAAACUAAUUUACGCUAUCUUUUCAUUAUAACUGCUUCCAAUGUUACAAUUUACGGUAAGAAAAUUUUUAUGUAAGAACAUAUAUAAUAUAAAUAUAUACAGACAUAUAUAAAUAAAUUUAUUUACAUACGAAAUAUAAAUAAAUAUAAAGCAACAUAUAUAAAACACACACACAUAUGUGUGUGAAGUGUUGUGUGUGUGUGUGUGUGUAUUUGAAGCAACAGUCAUUGUAUUAUAGGGACUCUAAUAUUGCUACAUUAAACUUUCUUAGUGCUUGAUUUAUCUUAUAAUUAUCUGAUAAAGAUAUAGCUGCUUUUUUUAAGUCUACUGAAAAUCUUUCUUGAUUCAAUUUUCAUACAGAUUAUUUAAAUUUAUAUAUUUCUGUAAUAAUGUUUUUCAUCGAAUUGAAUAAACAUAUGACAUUGUAUUGAUUGCACAAAUAUCAAUUGCUAUGUUGAACUUUCUUCCGAGUUGUUGUGUCUAAUUUACAUUUACUGUAAGUGUAUUGUCCCUAAAUAUUAUACAUUAUAAAACAAUAUUAACCAAACAUCACUUUCCAAAUUAAAGAAAAUGUGACUUUGAGUACAUAACAUUCUUAUUAAAACAAUUAUUAAUAUUUAAUUUAAGCAAAUUUUAAGUAUACGUACAUUAUGUUCAAAUUUUAAUACGUUUGUUCUAUGUCAAAUAUGUUGUGGGAUAAAAUGGAUAAUUUAAGUAAAGAAGUUCAUGAAUUUAAAAUUGAAAGCAAACAACAAUAUAAUAAGUGUAUGUCAAAAAUGAAGGAACUAUUUGCAAUCUUAAAAGAGAAAUUCCCAAAUAACGAGAUCGAAAACGAAAACAGUGACUUAAUAUUGCUCAUUGUUGCCCGAUUUCCCAUUAUUAUCUAUAGAAGAAUUUUGGGAAUUUUGGGAAUUUAAUAAUAGAUUAAAAACGAUGAAGCAAUUCGUAAAUUACUUGUAAGUAUUAUUACUUAUUGUACACUUUAUAUCUUCUACACUUUUUUUACGUAUAUAAUUUUUCACCGGCUGAAAUAGUUCUAUGAAAUCAAGAACAUGUACUUUUUUCAUAUUUAAAUAAUACUAUUUGAAUAUUUUUGACAGACGCAAACUAUUAUGCAAAUAGGUGGUGAUACAAGCCAAAAAAUAAUCUCCAAUAUCUUGACACAUACAAUGGCAUAUGAAUUAGGACACAAAAUGUCUUGGACCGGUGCCAAAGGAUCGAUUGCUAUCAAAGAUACUCUGUUUAUUCACAUUAUAAUUAGUGUAGUUAAUGCCAAAGAUAAUGGAAAGAUUAAUAGUAUCGCAGAGAUUAAGAAACACAUAUCGUUUAAGAUACAAAUAUCGAUGCACAUGGCAACAUAUCGAUGACACAAUAAAUGCAGAUGCAAUUUUUAGACGACUGAUCGUAAUGGUUUUCAUUUUUCUCCGUGCAUACAUAUUUUUUUUACAAGCACACAUCCCUCAUAGAACUCCGUCCGCUGUAGUUGAAUUUUCAUAUACGAUUCUUUUGGCAAAUUUAAAAUGAAAUAGUGGCUACUUUAAUUGCGUUUCAGUUUAAUAUUCCAUCACGCAAUUUAUUAGAAAGGCUCUGAAGAAGUAAAUCAAACUGAAUAAAUGCCGUGAGAACCAACACAAGAUGUUUAUGUGAGAAUUAAUGUAAUUGACAAACAAUUAUUAGACGUUUUGAUCCGCUGGUUUGGAUCAUUCUUAUUGUUAGUGUAAACUUAUUAUUCCAUAUGCUAUGAUAAUCAGGCUUGUGUAACGCAGGUACAAAAAUGGAUAGUCGAAAAUGAUGCAGUACAAUUGUAGUCAGUGUGACCAUUCAAAAAACUUGCCACAAUGACACAGACCGCAAUGUAUCACACUGCAAUUGUACUGCAUUAUUUGUAACUGACAAUUUUUGUACCUGUGCUACACAAGCCUGAUUAUCGUCGCAUGUGGAAUAAUAAGUUUAUACUGAAGAUGAUCCAAAUCAGAGGAUUGAAACAUCUAAUAAUUGUUUGUCAAUUACACUAAUUCUCUCAUGAACAUCUUGUGUUGGCUCUCACGACAUUUAUUCAUAGUUACAUUUAUUUUUAUAUAAUACUUUUAUGUAACAUUUUUACACGCAUUUUUAAGUAGAUAUAUUCAAAUUCAUGUAUUUAAAAAACUUUAGCUCUUACAAAAUUCUUAUAAUCUUUCGAAGUUAAUACCUAGAAAUAAAUAAAAGUGAGACUAAUACACUUCAAUAUUGUUUACAUUUUGACAUUUACAAAUGUGUGUGAAGUUGGCCCCGCACUUUUCAAAUUUUGUAUUUUUCUUAAUUAUACUGCUUUGGGCUACGUUUGUGUUGACUCGUGCCAUAAGAAAAAAGUUGACAACUCAAAUAAAAAUUACAAAAAAGAAAUUAAUAAUAUUAAUUACCAGCUCCGCAUUUUUUCGCGACACUGUUCAAAUAUAAAUAUAUGAAAUAUAAAUAAUUUGCAAUGGUUGUAAUAUUUAAAGAAAUAUAGAUAUUCUGAGAGUUAUGGUUUUAUAUUGAGGUAUAGCUGAAGUAAAAACAAGAGAUAAUGAUCUCUAAAAGCUUAAAUAUUGAUAAAAAUUAAAAAAAAGAGGAGGGGUAAGUAAAAAAUUUACAUUUUUGAAAUUUCUUCAGUUGUGCCGGAUUGUGCUAGAGUAGCACAACAACUAUUCUUAAUGACAACAUUUCUGCAGAGCAACAUACUUUGCAGUACAGACAAAUUUAUGGAGCAGACGUUAGGAAGUUACUAUCAAUAUAAACAGAAUUAAAAAGAAAAAAAAAUUAGGUGAACCUUUUAUUCAGAUACAUUACUUCUUUUUGUAUUAUUACAAUUUUCCGAUUACCAAUCAUUGGAAAUGGACUACCAAACGUCAGUAAGCAACCACCAAACGAAUGCUUACUGUUAUAAUUUCUUAUGCAGUCUGCAAAGCCAAAUUUUACAAAAAGGGGGCCAACUUCACGCAAGUAUGUCUUUUUUUUUAUAUUAUUAAUUAUAAUUUCGACUACCAAUCGUCGGGAAUGGACUACCAAACUCCACCAAACGACCACCAAUCGAAUAGUAAUAUUCGUUACUAGAUUUUUAAUAGUGGGGGGGCCAACUUCACGCAGCUCGAGCAGUGCCAAAUGAUACGUAUAGGGACCUGCUGAAAAAUUAUUCUCACAUUACUUUUACAUAAUUUUUCAGAAUAUCUGUAUAAUUUUAUAGUUUUUUCAGAUUUUUUUAUAGGAAUUAGA